rnacentral:rRNA from 1 species
UACGGAGGAUGCAAGCGUUAUCCGGAAUGAUUGGGCGUAAAGGGUCCGCAGGUGGCAAUGUGUGUCUGCUGUCAAAGAAUGAGGCUUAACCUCAUCAAGGCAGUGGAAACUACAUAGCUAGAGUACGGUCGGGGUAGAAGGAAUUCCUGGUGUAGCGGUGAAAUGCGUAGAGAUCAGGAAGAACACCGGUGGCGAAGGCGGCAUCCUGGACCAUUACUGACGCUGAGGCGCGAAGGCUAGGGGAGCAAACGGG